rnacentral:sRNA from 1 species
AAGAGGAACAUCGACUAACAACUGCCACGUCCUGUGGCAAACGUCGAUAUCAGCACGUCUUGUA